GAUGAAGAACGUAGUGAAAUGCGAUAAGUAAUGUGAAUUGCAGAAUUCAGUGAAUCAUCGAAUCUUUGAACGCACCUUGCGCUCCUUGGUAUUCCUUGGAGCAUGCCUGUUUGAGUAUCAUGAGCAAAUCUCAAAGUCGAUCCUUUUGUUAAUUCAAUUGGUUUUGCUUUGGACUUGUAGGUCUUGCAGAUUUCACCAUCUGCUCCUCUUAAAUGUAUUAGCUGGAUCUCAGUAUUUAUGCUUGGUUCCACUCGGCGUGAUAAGUAUCACUCGCUGAGGACACUGGUAAAAAGGUGGCCAGGAAAAUACUGAUUGAACCGCUUCUAACGGUCUAUUAACUUAGACAAUUACCCUUAAGUUUGAUCUCAAAUCAGGUAGGACUACCCGCUGAACUUAAGCAUAUCAAUAAGCGGAGGA
rnacentral:misc_RNA from 1 species